rnacentral:rRNA from 1 species
AGGCUUAACACAUGCAAGUCGAGCGGGCCCUUCGGGGUCAGCGGCGGACGGGUGAGUAACGCGUGGGAACGUGCCUUCUGGUUCGGAAUAACCCUGGGAAACUAGGGCUAAUACCGGAUACGCCCUUUUGGGGAAAGGUUUACUGCCGGAAGAUCGGCCCGCGUCUGAUUAGCUAGUUGGUGGGGUAACGGCCUACCAAGGCGACGAUCAGUAGCUGGUCUGAGAGGAUGAUCAGCCACACUGGGACUGAGACACGGCCCAGACUCCUACGGGAGGCAGCAGUGGGGAAUAUUGGACAAUGGGCGCAAGCCUGAUCCAGCCAUGCCGCGUGAGUGAUGAAGGCCUUAGGGUUGUAAAGCUCUUUUAUCCGGGACGAUAAUGACGGUACCGGAGGAAUAAGCCCCGGCUAACUUCGUGCCAGCAGCCGCGGUAAUACGAAGGGGGCUAGCGUUGCUCGGAAUCACUGGGCGUAAAGGGCGCGUAGGCGGCGUUUUAAGUCGGGGGUGAAAGCCUGUGGCUCAACCUCAGAAUGGCCUUCGAUACUGGGACGCUUGAGUAUGGUAGAGGUUGGUGGAACUGCGAGUGUAGAGGUGAAAUUCGUAGAUAUUCGCAAGAACACCGGUGGCGAAGGCGGCCAACUGGACCAUUACUGACGCUGAGGCGCGAAAG